UCUGAAAACAUCAGGCUUCUCAAAGCUGCAGAAAAUGUUUCCUCAUUAAAGUAUUUUUAAAGGAAUAUCUUUAAUUGCACUGUUUUAAAUAUGACAGAAAAGGGUUAUGAAUAUUCAAUUCGUCCCUCCCUGAACUACACUCAGCACAAAACUGAUUAAUUGCAUAACUACAUUACCUACUGUGUGCCAGGGAUUGGUUGCUUAAUACUGAAUGAGGUAGUCCUUGCCAUUAGAAAAAUUACAGUUUGGUGGAAGAGGUAGUCAAGAACACCGUCACAGAGCAGAGUGUCAUGGUAGGAGAGUUACAGGAACACAGUGGGAGACCUUAGGGGAGAAGUAGCUUAUUUCAUCUGGUUAUUGGCCACAGGAGGCUUCUGUUUUUUUUUUUUUUUUUUGGUUGAGAUGGAGUCUCGCUCUGUUGCCCAGGCUGGAAUGCAGUGGCUCACUUGGCUCACCGAAAGCUCCGCCUCCCGGGCCCACGCCAUUCUUGGCCACAGGAGGAUUUGAAAAGAAGCUGUUUUAGCUGAGAUUUAGA
rnacentral:lncRNA from 1 species